rnacentral:rRNA from 1 species
UUAUGCUGAUAAGAGCGUAUGGUGGAUGCCUUGGCACUAAGAGCCGAUGAAAGACGUGAUAAGCUGCGAAAAGCUUCGGGGAGGGGCAAAUACCCAUCGAUCCGGAGAUUUCUGAAUGGGGAAACCUAACUGAGCAAACCUCAGUUAUCCUGACGCCAAUCCAUAACGUCAGGAAGGGAACCCGGUGAACUGAAACAUCUAAGUAGCCGGAGGAAGAGAAAACAACAUGUGAUUCUGUGAGUAGCGGCGAGCGAAAACGGAAGAGCCCAAACCGGGAUGCGUGCAUCCCGGGGUUCGGACCGCGGAAUUGAUUCAACAAGUUUAGCAGAACAGUUUUGGGAAAGCUGACCAAAGAGGGUGAAAGUCCCGUAAGCGAAAGGCGAGUUGACAUGGCGGUAUCCAGAGUAGGUCGAGACACGUGGAACCUUGACUGAAUAUGCGGGGACCACCCCGUAAGGCUAAAUACUCCUUAGUGACCGAUAGCGCAUAGUACUGUGAAGGAAAGGUGAAAAGGACCCCGGGAGGGGAGUGAAAAAGAACCUGAAACCAUAUGUUUACAAGCUGUGGAACAUCUUUAUAUGAUGAACCGCGUACUUUUUGUAGAACGGUCCGGCGAGUUACGCUGGCUGGCGAGGUUAAGCACUGAAGGUGCGGAGCCGAAGGGAAACCAAGUCUGAAUAGGGCGAAAGUCAGUCGGAGUAGACCCGAAACCGGGUGAUCUAUCCAUGUCCAGGUUGAAGUUGCCGUAAAAGGCAAUGGAGGACCGAACCCACAUCCGUUGAAAAGGGUGGGGAUGAGGUGUGGAUAGGGGAGAAAUUCCAAUCGAACCCGGAGAUAGCUGGUUCUCCUCGAAAUAGCUUUAGGGCUAGCCUCAUACAAGUCUUGCGGAGGUAGAGCACUGAAUUCCUACGGGGGCGUCAAAGCUUACCAAGGGAUAUCAAACUCCGAAUGCCGUGUAGAUGAUGUAUGGGAGUCAGACUAUCCGAGAUAAGUUGGGUAGUCGAAAGGGAAAGAGCCCAGACCUGCAGCUAAGGCCCCAAAAUGUGUGUUAAGUGGAAAAGGAUGUGGGAUUUCGAAGACAACUAGGAUGUUGGCUUAGAAGCAGCCAUCCAUUAAAAGAGUGCGUAAUAGCUCACUAGUCGAGAGGUCCUGCGCCGAAAAUGUCCGGGGCUGAAACACACUGCCGAAGCUCAGGGAUGAACAGUGAUCAAUACAGAUCAAUGCAAGAGGAAAGCUUCUUGAUGAAAUCAAGAAGAUUCCAAAACAGAUGGAACAGACUGCUGUUGGUCUGCGUUGAUCACUGUUCAUCGGUAGAGGAGCAUUCUUAAAGAGACGAAGCUGUACCGAAAGGAGCAGUGGAUUUUUAAGAAGAGAGAAUGCCGGAAUGAGUAGCGAGAAAGAGGUGAGAAUCCUCUUGGCCGAAUAUCUAAGGUUUCCAGGGUAAAGCUGAUCUGCCCUGGGUAAGUCGGGGCCUAAGGCGAGGUCGAAAGACGUAGUCGAUGGAUAACAGGUUGAAAUUCCUGUACUAUCCUGUAACAGAACUGUGGGGACGCAGACAGAGAGCACAAGCCGGGAAUGGAAAGACCGGUGCAAGCGAGGUAGGAGUACAUCAGGCAAAUCCGGUGUGCAAUCCGAAGACGUGAUGCGGAUCGAAAAGAAGUAGAGAAGUGUGUGAGCUGGCUGCCAAGAAAAGCCGCUAUUGUUUACAGGAUACCCGUACCGUAAACCGACACAGGUGGAUGAGGAGAGAAUCCUAAGGCCGACGGGAGAAGCAUUGUUAAGGAACUCGGCAAAAUGACUCCGUAACUUCGGGAGAAGGAGUGCCAUGCGAAUGGCCGCAGAGAAUUGGCCCAAGCAACUGUUUAGCAAAAACACAGGUCUAUGCGAAACCGAAAGGUGAGGUAUAUGGGCUGACGCCUGCCCGGUGCUGGAAGGUUAAGGGGAGAGGUUAGCGCAAGCGAAGCUUUGAACUUAAGCCCCAGUAAACGGCGGCCGUAACUAUAACGGUCCUAAGGUAGCGAAAUUCCUUGUCGGGUAAGUUCCGACCCGCACGAAAGGCGUAAUGAUUUGGGCACUGUCUCAACAAUGCACCCGGUGAAAUUGAAAUACCAGUGAAGAUGCUGGUUACCUGCGCCAGGACGGAAAGACCCCAUGGAG